UUCUUCUCUUUGUUUAGUAAGUUUGAUUUUAUUGGUAUAUUGUGCUGGCAACAUACCAAUAAAAUCAAACUUACUAAACAAAGAGAAGAA
rnacentral:pre_miRNA from 1 species